GCCCAGGUAGCUCAGUCGGUAGAGCAGGGGACUGAAAAUCCCCGUGUCGGCGGUUCGAUUCCGUCCCUGGGCACC
rnacentral:tRNA from 1 species